rnacentral:lncRNA from 1 species
UUGUUCACUGUUAUACCCACUCCACUUCCUAGGAAAUGCCUAGAAAUAGAAGGAACUCAGUAAAUACUUCCCGGAACAGAAACCCCAAUCGUUCAUGAAUUCUCAGAGCAUCCCUUUCUGUGAUAAUAGAGUGGAGAAAAACUUCCUGUGGGUCUGCAAUCCUAUCCCCGCACAGAAAGGCUGUCACCAUUUGACCAAAAGGGAGGACCAGGACAGAAGGACCAUAAGUCAAUGGUUUUCUUUAGUGUGCUGCCAGCAGAAUCAGAAUCACCUGGAAGCUGGGGACAUGGAUGGACUUGGAAGCCAUUAUCCACAGGAAACUCAUGCAAGAACAGAAAACCAAACACAGCAUGUUCUCACUUAUGAGUGGGAGCUGAAUGAUGAGAACAUAUGGAUGCAUCAGGGGGAACAACACACACUGGGGCCUGUUGGGGCAUGGGAGGAGGAAGAGCAUCAGGAAUAAUAGCUAAUGGAUUCUGGGCUUAAAACCUAGGUGAUGGGUUGAUCUAUGCAGCAAACCACCAGGGCACACAUUCACCUAUGUAACAAACCUGUACAGCCUGCACAGGUACCCCUGAACUUAAAAUUAAAGUUGAAGUAAAAA